rnacentral:rRNA from 1 species
AUGGGCCCAACUGGGCCGGACAGGACCAGAGGGGGGAAAUCUGCCACCGACGAAAGAGGGGGAGGAGAGGCAGGCCCACUGGGCAACAACAAACCGCAAGGCCCAUCAAGCCCACCCGAGGGGACGUCCCACGGCCCGAUGGCCACCGCGGAGAAAUCAAGAUCUAGGUUACACGAAGCCACCAGCGACCCCGCCGUCGCCGCCGCCGGCGACGAGGCCGCCGCAGAGGCUGCAGGAGAGGGUGAUGGGAGGCCACCAAGCUCCCCAUCAGGUGCACUGCCCAGGACAACAAGAUCAGGUGACGCAACAGCAAACUUACCAGACUUAUGCCGCCACCGAGAGAUCCGAAUCCAGCCAUCGACCGACGAGGACGCGGCCACCGACCGGCCCCGGCCACCAGGAGCGAACUUGCGGGGACGAGGAGCGGCGGAAGGCACCACCACCCCCAGCACAAGGCACGGGACCACAGGGGGAAGGGACCGAUGA